UACGAAGGGGGCGAGCGUUGUCCGGAAUCAUUGGGCGUAAAGCGCGUGUAGGCGGCUUGGUAAGUCCGGCGUGAAAUCUUGGGGCUCAACCCCAAGCCUGCGCUGGAUACUGCCUCGCUCGAGUCCGGGAGAGGAGAGUGGAAUUCCCAGUGUAGCGGUGAAAUGCGCAGAGAUUGGGAAGAACACCGGUGGCGAAGGCGGCUCUCUGGAACGGUACUGACGAUGAGACGCGAAAGCGUGGGGAGCGAACAGG
rnacentral:rRNA from 1 species